rnacentral:rRNA from 1 species
CUUUACUGAAGGUUGGUAUUGGGUCGUGAUUUACGAUGUUCAGUAUACGUGGGAGGCGUUGAGGCCAGGACGUCAGUUCUGGUGGAGCCAAUAGUGAGAUACCACGCAUUGUAUGUUGCGGCUCUAACCCCGAAAAAUCGGGGAACAGUGCUAGCUGGUCAGUUUACCUGGGGCGGGUGCCUCCGAAAGAGUAACGGAGGCGUACAAAGGUUGGCUUGCUACGGAUGGAAACCGUGGUUAAUGUAUAUUCGCAUAAGCCGGCUUAACUGUGAGACUGACGCGUCGAGCAGAGUGGAAACACGGUGAAAGUGAUCCGGAAUUUCUGUAUGGAAAGGAUUCCGCUCAACGGAUAAAAGCUA